rfam:Ailuropoda melanoleuca scaffold456_49, whole genome shotgun sequence.
ACUCCGUCUACCCAGUGUUUAGACUAUCUGUUCAGGACUCCCAAAUUGUACAGUAGUCUGCACAUUGGUUAGGCUGGGCU